rnacentral:rRNA from 1 species
UAGAUGACGAAGGCACCACCAGAGUGGAGCUGCGCUAAUUGACUCAACACGGGGAAGGUGGCAGGUCCAGACGUAGUACGAUGACAGAUGAUAGCUCAUAAUGAAUAUAAGAGUGUGUGCAUGCCGUCUAGUGUGAGUGAUUGUCUGGGGGUGUGCGUGGGCGUCGGACGACUGCUAACUAGAUACUUUUAUCUAUAAAUGCUAUCUCUGGAGGGACUAUGUAAUUCAAAUACAUGGAAGUUGAGGCAAUAACAGGUCAGUGAUGCCUUAUAUGUCAAGAGAAGCACGCGUGCUACACUGAUGCAUACGACAAGUCCCAAGCCAGUCAUGGCAUGGUAAUCUCUAAUAUGCAUCGUGAUGGGGAUUGAUCUUUGCAAUUAUAGAUCUUGAACGAGGAAUUCCUAGUAAGUGCAAGUCAUCAUCUGCAAUGAUUAUGUCCUGCCCUUGUACACACCGCCCGUCGCUCCUACCGAUACCGGUGUCGGUGAACCUUUGGACCUCGCAAGAGGAAAGAUAAGUAAAUCAUAUCACCUAGAGGAAGGGAGUCGUCCUAUUGAAUGGGACUCAAAGAUUUAAAGGACCCUCAGUUGAUCGA